GUCGAACGCUGGCGGCGUGCUUAACACAUGCAAGUCGAACGGAAAGGCCCUGCUUUUGUGGGGUGCUCGAGUGGCGAACGGGUGAGUAACACGUGAGUAACCUGCCCUUGACUUUGGGAUAACUUCAGGAAACUGGGGCUAAUACCGGAUAGGAGCUCCUGCUUCAUGGUGGGGGUUGGAAAGUUUCGGCGGUUGGGGAUGGACUCGCGGCUUAUCAGCUUGUUGGUGGGGUAGUGGCUUACCAAGGCUUUGACGGGUAGCCGGCCUGAGAGGGUGACCGGCCACAUUGGGACUGAGAUACGGCCCAGACUCCUACGGGAGGCAGCAGUGGGGAAUAUUGCACAAUGGGCGGAAGCCUGAUGCAGCAACGCCGCGUGCGGGAUGACGGCCUUCGGGUUGUAAACCGCUUUCGCCUGUGACGAAGCGUGAGUGACGGUAAUGGGUAAAGAAGCACCGGCUAACUACGUG
rnacentral:rRNA from 1 species